rnacentral:rRNA from 1 species
AGUGAACGCUGGCGGUAGGCCUAACACAUGCAAGUCGAACGGCAGCACAGUAAGAGCUUGCUCUUACGGGUGGCGAGUGGCGGACGGGUGAGGAAUACAUCGGAAUCUACUUUUUCGUGGGGGAUAACGUAGGGAAACUUACGCUAAUACCGCAUACGACCUACGGGUGAAAGCAGGGGAUCUUCGGACCUUGCGCGAUUGAAUGAGCCGAUGUCGGAUUAGCUAGUUGGCGGGGUAAAGGCCCACCAAGGCGACGAUCCGUAGCUGGUCUGAGAGGAUGAUCCGCCCACCUGAACCUGAGACCCGGUCCAGCCCCCCCGGGGAGGCCGCAGGGGGGAAUUUUGGAAAAGGGGCGCAACCCUGAUCCACCCAACCCGCGGGGGUGAAGAAGGCCUUCGGUUUGUAAAGCCCUUUUGUUGGGAAAAAAAAGCAGCAGGUUAAUACCCCGCUGUUCUGACGGUACCCAAAGAAUAAGCACCGGCUAACUUCGU